rnacentral:rRNA from 1 species
AGAAUAAGCACCGGCUAGCUGCGUGCCAGCGGCCGCGGUAAUACGUAGGGUGCAAGCGUUAAUCGGAAUUACUGGGCGUAAAGCGUGCGCAGGCGGUUCUGUAAGACAGAUGUGAAAUCCCCGGGCUCAACCUGGGAAUUGCAUUUGUGACUGCAGGACUAGAGUUCAUCAGAGGGGGGUGGAAUUCCAAGUGUAGCAGUGAAAUGCGUAGAUAUUUGGAAGAACACCAAUGGCGAAGGCAGCCCCCUGGGAUGC